rnacentral:rRNA from 1 species
AUUGAACGCUGGCGGCAUGCUUUACACAUGCAAGUCGAACGGCAGCGCGGGCUUCGGCCUGGCGGCGAGUGGCGAACGGGUGAGUAAUGCAUCGGAACGUGCCCAGUAGUGGGGGAUAGCCCGGCGAAAGCCGGAUUAAUACCGCAUACGACCUGAGGGUGAAAGCGGGGGACCGAAAGGCCUCGCGCUAUUGGAGCGGCCGAUGUCGGAUUAGCUAGUUGGUGGGGUAAAGGCUUACCAAGGCGACGAUCCGUAGCUGGUCUGAGAGGACGACCAGCCACACUGGGACUGAGACACGGCCCAGACUCCUACGGGAGGCAGCAGUGGGGAAUUUUGGACAAUGGGGGCAACCCUGAUCCAGCCAUGCCGCGUGCGGGAAGAAGGCCUUCGGGUUGUAAACCGCUUUUGUUCGGGAAGAAAUCCUCUGGGCUAAUACCCCGGGGGGAUGACGGUACCGGACGAAUAAGCACCGGCUAACUACGUG